rnacentral:rRNA from 1 species
GACGAACGCUGGCGGCGUGCUUAACACAUGCAAGUCGAACGGAAAGGCCCUGCUUUUGUGGGGUGCUCGAGUGGCGAACGUGUGAGUAACACGUGAGUAACCUGCCUUUUACUUUGGGAUCACUUCAGGAAACUGGGGCUAAUACCGGUUAUGAGCUCCUGCUGCAUGGUGUGGGUUGGAAAGUUUCGGCGGUUGGGCAUGGAGUCGCGGCUUAUCAGCUUGUUGGUGGGGUAGUUGCUUAGCAAGGCUUUGACGGGUAGCCGGCCUGAGAGGGUGACCGGCCACAUUGGGACUGAGAUACGGGCAAGAAGCCUACGGGAGGAAGGAGUGAGGAAUAGUGCACAAUGGGCGGGAGCCUGAGGCGGCAACGCCGCGUGCGGGAUGGCGGCCUUCGGGUUGUAGACCGCUUUCGCCUGUGACGAAGCGUGGGUGACGGUAAUGGGUAAAGAAGCACCGGCUAACUACGUG